UACGUAGGGGGCUAGCGUUGUCCGGAAUCAUUGGGCGUAAAGCGCGUGUAGGCGGUCCGGUAAGUCCGCUGUGAAAGUCGGGGGGCUCAACCCUCGGAUGCCGGUGGAUACUGUCGGGCUUGAGUACGGAAGAGGCGAGUGGAAUUCCUGGUGUAGCGGUGAAAUGCGCAGAUAUCAGGAGGAACACCAAUUGCGAAGGCAGCUCGCUGGGACGUUACUGACGCUGAGACGCGAAAGCGUGGGGAGCGAACAGG
rnacentral:rRNA from 1 species